rnacentral:rRNA from 1 species
AGACGUAGGGGGCGAGCGUUACCCGGAUUUACUGGGCGUAAAGCGCGCGUAGGCGGCUCGGCAAGUUGGGCGUGAAAGCUCCCUGCUCAACGGGGAGAGGCCGCUCAAGGCUGCCGGGCUCGAGGGCGGUAGAGGGAGGCGGAAUUCCCGGAGUAGCGGUGAAAUGCGUAGAUACCGGGAGGAACGCCAGUGGGGAAGCCGGCCUCCUGGGCCGUCCCUGACGCUGAGGCGCGAAAGCCAGGGGAGCGAACCGGAUUAGAUACCCCAGUAGUCC